AGCCGAGUAGUAAACGCAUAGCGAAUUAUUCUUUCGUCUUUUACUAAAGAAUACCGUAUGUUCGCUACUUAAAUCGGCAUAGAACAAUUUUUGUAGGGUUUUUCUCCAUUGGGGAGAA
rnacentral:snRNA from 1 species